CUUGUGAAUACUAAAUUAUUAUUUUAUACAGACACUAGUAUUUAAAGUGCCAAAUUUUAUACAUUUUAAGUGGGCUAUGUUAUAUCCCCCGGCUUUUUAUAAGUAUAUUUUUCAAUAUAAAAAUAACAAAAAAUAAAAUUAACUGGGAAGAUUUUCAACUACCAAUAGCUAAUAUGUAUGCCCCAUAGGACAUUUCGUAUGUAAAUUAAUUAAUUGUUAACCAGGGUUUGAUUAACCCGUUUAGAUUAGGGUUGAUUAAUAACCAAAAGUUAGUACAAUGUUAG